CACCCGGGAAAUCUUAUUCCCUUUAUUCUCUUCAACUAAUCAACAUGACCACCGGUGACACAACACUGUUAUUGACACACAACACUCAAAAGUGGGGCCUCUCUUCACUCCACGGAGACAAGUCAGGUGAGUGGGGCUUCCCUAAUGGGGGCAAAAGAGUCUGGGGACUGCUCACCUGAGGAGCGGGUGUCAUGGGAUCCCACCUCUUGGUCGUGAUGGUUUCAAGUUUCCCCACCAUUCAGGAUUCAUGCCUGCUUCUGUUGAGUUCCCAUGUGACCUCCGUAGCCAUAGCAGUUCCAAGUUGUACCCUAAGCUCAGAUCGAUGUCCCCUCUCCCCCCUUGCUUUCACCAGUGACUCUGUGACCCUGUCUGUUGGGCUCCUCCCCCAGGGCACUUCUGAAGUCAGGCCUGCGUGGAGCUGGACAGAAGGGUUUGGGGACACCACGCCUUCCGGACUAAGUUCUGGUGGCAAGUGCCACGACCGACCCCUGGACCUUUGCCUACUCUGGUCAGAGAGACUCUGGACACUGCCACCUCCCCAAGCCAGCUCCCUGCUUAGUUCCUCCUAAGAUGUAGCUCACUCUGGGAGGGAAGCACCUGGGUAAAGGCAUUUGGGGAGGUGGGCAAGAGAGAACAGGUCACCCCCCAGAGGUCUCCGAUUCUGCCCCUUUCCUGCUACGAAACCCCAGACCCCACCUAAUCGUGUCCACGUCAUCCAUUCAGUACCGGAGCCAAGACCGCUGGCCCUCACCCAUCCCUACAACAUGCGAGCAUCCUACUAUGUGUGCUACACCCUAGUCCUCAAUAGGCCUACAGUUGGCCUUUGACCAUACUGACCACCUCCCCUCCCCCCCGGGACCGGCCCCUGAGCCCCAAAGGCUGCUCUCCAGGACUCUCCUGGAGACAGAUUCCUCAGACCUGCUUCCGAGGGGCGCUGCUUCUAGCUUUACAAGGGGUUUGUCUCUACAACUGAAGUUUCUUUCUACUAUCACCUUAACAAAAAAUCUUUGACUUGGAGAAUGGUCUCCUCUUCCUCAGUCUCAUAGGGACACCCCCUUUGUUGACGCUUCUGUCAGUAGAGAUUCGGCAGGCAGGCUCCUUCUCCCCUCUCAGUAGUGCUUUCUGACCUGGCACUUGGGUGGGGUGGGGCUUUACACAAAUGGCAUAAGGGUCUCCCCACAAUCAUCCAAGACCUGCCUUUUCCUUCUCCCCAGCAGGCCUGGGUCUUUCCUCUUGCAGUGUUCUAGAUUUUGAUCCUUUGAACUCAAGGUCAUCCCUUUGGGGGCAGGAGAGAUGAAGGGUGAAGGGCUUUCACCUUUUGAGCUUUUGGGUAAUGGAAUUAGAGGUCUCUUCCACAGCUUUGAGGAGUCCAGUCGCCCUCUCCAGGGAUGCGACUCCUGAAGGGCCCCCUCACCCGGCAUCUCAGUUCUGACUCCAGGACCACAGUGCGUUAGUGGUACCAGCGUGGGUCAGUGGGCACUUCUUUUAGACCCAGCACUGGACAGAGUCCUCGCUUUCCUUAAGGGUCUCCAGGGUGACGCUGUGGGGUUCUUGUUACAGAUGUUUGAAGAGUUUUCACUCAACCAUUUUAUAGGGCAGCAGGCUCUCUCCCCUGCCACACACAGUCACAUUAGCGGGUCUGGCGGCGUUAAUGAAAGAGUGGAACUGUGUGGUGUGUGAAGACAGGAGAUGGGUCGGGCCAGGGAAUGUGUUUCUCAUCCUCCCCUUUCCCUCCGAAGGUUGCUGGCUGAGGAGGAGA
rnacentral:lncRNA from 1 species